rnacentral:piRNA from 1 species
UCCGAUUGAUCCUCGCAUCUCAUUGGUCC